rfam:Heterocephalus glaber contig253402, whole genome shotgun sequence.
CUGGACUCUGAAUCCAGCGAUCCGAGUUCAAAUCUCGGUGGGACCU